UACGGAGGGUGCGAGCGUUGUCCGGAAUCACUGGGCGUAAAGGGCGCGUAGGCGGUCUGCUAAGCGUGCGGUGAAAGCCUGGGGCUCAACCCCAGGUCUGCCGUGCGAACUGGUGGACUAGAGCACUGUAGAGGCAGGUGGAAUUUCGGGUGUAGCGGUGGAAUGCGUAGAGAUCCGAAAGAACACCGGUGGCGAAGGCGGCCUGCUGGGCAGUUGCUGACGCUGAUGCGCGACAGCGUGGGGAGCAAACAGG
rnacentral:rRNA from 1 species